CCUACGGGUGGCAGCAGUGGGGAAUAUUGGGCAAUGGGCGCAAGCCUGACCCAGCAACGCCGCGUGAAGGAAGAAGGCUCUCGGGUUGUAAACUUCUUUUAUCAGGGACGAAGCAAGUGACGGUACCUGAUGAAUAAGCCACGGCUAACUACGUGCCAUCAGCCGCGGUAAUACGUAGGUGGCAAGCGUUGUCCGGAAUUACUGGGCGUAAAGGGCGCGUAGGUGGGUGCUUAAGUCAGGUGUGAAAACUCUGGGCUCAACCUGGAGACUGCACUUGAAACUGGGUAUCUUGAGGGCAGGAGAGGAAAGUGGAAUUCCUAGUGUAGCGGUGAAAUGCGUAGAUAUUAGGAGGAACACCAGUGGCGAAGGCGACUUUCUGGACUGUACCUGACGCUGAGGCGCGAAAGCGUGGGUAGCGAACGGGAUUAGAUACCCGGGUAGUC
rnacentral:rRNA from 1 species